rnacentral:rRNA from 1 species
AUACGGAGGAUCCGAGCGUUAUCCGGAUUUAUUGGGUUUAAAGGGAGCGUAGGCGGAUUAUUAAGUCAGUUGUGAAAGUUUGCGGCUCAACCGUAAAAUCGCAGUUGAUACUGGUAGUCUUGAGUGCAGCAGAGGUAGGCGGAAUUCGUGGUGUAGCGGUGAAAUGCUUAGAUAUCACGAAGAACUCCGAUUGCGAAGGCAGCUUACUGGACUGUAACUGACGCUGAUGCUCGAAAGUGUGGGUAUCAAACAGGAUUAGAUACCCUGGUAGUCCACACAGUAAACGAUGAAUACUCGCUGUUUGCGAUAUACAGCAAGCGGCCAAGCGAAAGCAUUAAGUAUUCCACCUGGGGAGUACGCCGGCAACGGUGAAACUCAAAUGAAUUGACGGGG